CCCGAGCCGGGCCCCAAACAUGGGCUGUGCAGUGGUGCGGGGGGCCGCAGAGAGGCACGUCCCCUCCCAGCAUGCCAUGCGGCGCCGCAGUGACAUAUCCGAUCCCAGGAUGCCGUGCGGCGGCCACAGAAGAGAGCCAUGUCCCAGCAUGCCGUGCGGCCACCCAGAGAGGUAUGUCCCCUCCCAGCAUGCCGUGCGGCCGCCACAGAAGAGAGCCAUGUCCCAGCAUGCCGUGCGGCCACACAGAGAGGCCGGAAUCCUUUGUUUAAUUCCUCCACCUCCCAGUGGAAAAGUUCAGCAUUCCAGCCUCGGCCUAGGAGCAGCCAGGACAGGUCGCUGCUUCCGGGGAGCUGCCCGAGGGUUCAGUUGGGUGUCAAGGGAGAUGGAGGCCACUUUGCCAGCAGUGGCAGAGGAGCUUUUGAAAGAGAUAAAAAAGGCUUUCCAGGAGACCUCACAUGUUCCUGAUGAUCUCCUGUUGGCGCUGAAAUUUGUAUUUGGCUCAUCUGCUGUGGCAGCCUUGGAUUUGGUUGAUCAACACUCAGUCACGCGAAUCGUGUCUUCUAGCGGAAGGGCUGUGUACCAGAACUCUGUGGCAGCCUGCCCUGCUGUCUGUAAACAGAUUAAAAUGCUCACGUGGAAAUGUCUGCUCAGCUCCUGGGCUUAGCCAUAUGGGGCUGGUUAAUCAGAUGCUGGUUGCAGGGAGAGCUGCCAGAUGAUAGAGGAACCUGGCAUUUGCUGGAAUGGAACAACUAUUCACCUGACUUUUCCCCAAAUGUCUGUGCAGCCAGUUUUCCAGCGCUGCACUAUCCGUAUCUCCUGUGCUGGUUUCCCCUGGAUCUCAUCUUAUUCAUGCCACAGAGAGACAGUAAGAGAGGAAGGUUUGAACGUUUAAAAACUAGCACCCGUCUGCCUUGAUUCUUUGUGCUCAGGAGCCUUUUCCACCGUGGGACCCACAGCAGAGCCUGGCUGUAUGUCUGGGGACUUCCACCUCUUCGCGCUCACUGGCCAUGCAAGCGUGGUAUGUGCUCCUGUCUCUGAGGUCAGAAUCCAGCUCCCAGCCUUAUUCACGCCAUUGGCUCGAUGUACAUCACAGGAACUCCAGAGUGGUUUCUUUCCAGAAGCUGCGUUUUGGUUGGUUUUGAUCCUCUUGAGUUCUUGCAGGAGGGGAUGGACAAGCCCCAUGGGAGUUUGCAAAGCAGCCCUUGUUUCCCCAAGACUGGAGAGGACAAUGGGAGGAGACAGCACAGCAUCUCGGGCAGAGGGGAGCAGGGCACCCUCUAGUUCUGUUUGCUGCAUUUCAGUGCUGCAUGGCCCGUGGAUUUGAGAUUCCACCUGGAUCAGAGAGACGUGAAAGGCCUGUUUUUUCUGGGAGGGACAGCCAGCGCCACGGGGGAAAUGUUCAACCAGAGCAACGCUGGCAGCCUCUGAACUCGGCUGAGGGAAAGUUGCCAUCAACAUACUUAAUCUUGCAAGCAAACAAUCAAACGAGACAGAGAAUAACAAACCUACUGCAAGUGAAACAAACACAGAGUGUGGAGUGAAGGGGAGCCCAGGGCCGGCAAGGUCCUCGGGAGUUCAGGCAAACUGUACACCUGUUAUGCCUCCUGCCACUUCUGCACGUGCCCUGCGUUUGCUUUCUCUGUGCUGCGGAAGAACGACAGCCUGGUGUGUAAGCACAUCCUUGCCAUGUACCUCAGCCAGGCC